AUUGAACGCUAGCGGCAUGCUUUACACAUGCAAGUCGAACGGAGUGGCGGACGGGUGAGUAAUAUAUGGGAACGUGCCCAGUAGCGGGGGAUAACUACUCGAAAGGGUAGCUAAUACCGCAUACUAUCGGAGCGGCCCAGAUAGGAUUAGCUAGUUGGUGGGGUAAAGGCUCACCAAGGCAACGAUCCGUAGCUGGUCUGAGAGGAUGACCAGCCACACUGGAACUGAGACACGGCCCAGACUCCUACGGGAGGCAGCAGUGGGGAAUAUUUGACAAUGGGCGAAAGCCUGAUGCAGCCAUGCCGCGUGUAUGAAGAAGGCCUUCGGGUUGUAAAGUACUUUUGGCAGAGAAGCGGUACCUGCAGAAUAAGCACCGGCUAACUACGUGCCAGCAGCCGCGGUAAUAC
rnacentral:rRNA from 1 species